UUGCAAGCAUCCUACUACUGCUUGUAAUGGAAGGACUAUGGGAACACAGUGUAUUUGUGAUUUUAGUAACAUAGGGGAAAAAGGUACAGGCUGUAUUUAAGAUGUAUAAAAGUUCUAUACUUUUCUGUGUUGCCUUCUGGAUUUCUAAAAAGUUUUCUAAUUCAUUCCAUAAAGUUUUAAGCUUUUCUUUUUAUUCCAAUAAAAUACGAACAGUUGGGCAAACUGUAGGCCAGAACUUGAUUCAUGUGGAUAUGCCUGGCAAAGAUGGACAGCAGGCUGACAUCUGACAUCAGCAGGCUAGCUCUCUGGAGAAUUAGAUUUCAAAGUUAAGCCCUAGAGCUUCAAGUUUGCUCAGAYUGACGUGCUUGUACACAUACACUUCCUCUCUCUCCAUCUUCUAGCUGAUCCUGCCUGAGAAGAGCAUCCUGCAGUCAGCAACCAGAGGAUUGAAGAGCCCUAACACAUCUAGUUUGUCUGGGAACCCAGGAAAGAUUUGUUUCCUGACUCUCCRGCUACAAAAUAUUUGCUAUGAGAAGGAAGAAAGCAUGAGGGUCUGCUUUGGCAGCAAGCCUGCUCCUCCAAAAGAAGCUAUAUUUGUACAAAACAAGGAAAACAAAAUCUAGCAGACGCAGUCUUCCCACAUGUAUUUUCGUUCACUGGGCAAACACUAUGGUCAGAACUAAUGGAGUAUUGGAAUCCUGCAUGAACUUCUGAGGAUCUAUUUAGGACUUUUUCUUUCACUUUAUAAAACUUUUUUUUUCCUGCUACAUGUAUAUUGUAAACAAAUUUAAGACCAUUGAAACAUGAAUUCAUAAGAUGCUGUUCGUAACUCUGCUGUUCCAAGAGGAAGGCAGGAACAAACUGAUUCAGGAAUGUCACCCACCAGGACCAGUUUCUUUGUGCCCCCGGGCAGAGCAGGCCAGCACUAGAGCCCUUGAGCAGGUACAUUACUUUUCUGUGUCCAUCCCCUCCUGCCCUGUGUGUGAUGCCAAAGGGGGACCGGAACUCUUUUCUAGCAGCAACAUGGGUAUGAAAUAGCAACUUAGCUCUUUAUUUUUCCCCAUUAUAGCUGUGCAUGAGUCAAUAAUUAGAUUGUAGAAACAAUCUA